rnacentral:lncRNA from 1 species
CCAGGCGCAGCACAGCCUCCCCCUGCUGACCGGAGCUGGAAAUGGAAGAAGCCCAGGCCUGGCUGCGGUGGUGCUGUGAGUCCUGGAAGGGUCAGACUUUAGCACCCACCCACCAAGGUGCCCUGCAAAGACCCCAGACUUAGUCGUCAAGUCUUGCCCAGUGCCAGUCCCAGCCUCAGUGUCCUCUUCUGUACAAUGGGAAUAAAAAUACUGAGCCACCAAGGAGGUUGGCAAAGAAUUCCUGAGGAACGACAUACGAGCAUGACCCUGCAUACAGAAAGCAUUCAGCAAAUGUCCUUUUCCUUCCACACACCUGGCCUUGGCUCUGUGGACCAUUCCCAAAGUGCUUGCUGCCUCCCUUUUCCCUCCUUCCCUGGCCAUUUUCUUUCUGCCUUUCCGGGGGCCUCAAGGGAAAUGAGCUCAUGGCUGUUACCUGCUCUGGCUCAACACACCUCCUGAGGAGUCUUCCCAGGGCUUGCAGAUGGACCCUAGGGAAGCCAACCAGAGACAAACAGCCUUUCCCCCAGAGUCCCUGACAUCCAAGCAAAGUUGUGGUCUACAGCCCCUUCCAUUUCUCCCACUCUCCUAUGCUGGGAGCCACACAGCCUUUGCGUUUGUGCUUGGGAAUUUAUGUCCCCAGUUUUGCUGUGCAACAUCAGCUCCGAGAACGGUGAUGGUGGGCUGAACCUACUGGAUACUGCGCUCAAGAAAUCUUAAAUCCAUCUCCCCGGAGCAGCUAACCUCCUGGAUCAGCUCCAGACCUAGGACUGUACUUUUAAAACCCAAGCCCUUUGGCAGUGGGGAGGCAGCCUCCAGCACCUAGCAACGGAGAAACCAGGCCGAGUGUGAUUGGUCAGUUCCAGCUCAAAGGAGGGACGUCGUGAACUGAUUGGGUGGCAAUGCUUUUAAAAGGGAGAUGCCAGCAACCGCGAAGAAGCAAGUCCAUGGGGCUCUGCUAUCCUGAGAACCAGAGAACAAGAGAACUAGCCGGAAGGAGAAAGGACAGUCUGCAGUUCAGAAUUCCCACUCCUGCCAGGGCAGGUCAGAGAGGAGCACUCCAGGUGGAGACCCAUGGAUGGCUGCCUGGCUGUGGUGCUUCACUACCUCUGAGACAAUCCCCUUCCAUCCGUCUUUUCCUCAUUAAAUCUCAAGGAAGGGGAGGGGGGCCUGGAGAGGGCAGCCCCUCCCUGAACAAAGCUUUCUCUCCCUUCAGCAGAAGCAUCCAACUCUCUGCCAUCCUGAAAAGUAAGUGGUUAGACUGCAGGAAUCUAGGUGAGAACAGCAGAGCGGGGUGCAAGCUUGGAGUCAGACAGACUCGGGCCCCUGUUCAGUCCCUUAAGACACGUGCAACGUGGCAGCGCUCCCAGGCACCUCCCUCCUCAAGUAAGGUCCUUCAACCAGUAGCAUUGACAUCACCUGUUAGAAACCAGAAUCCUAGAUCACCUGGAUCCAGAUCUGUGUUUUAGUAAGAUCUCUGGUGACCCAUGUGCACACUGCCUUUUAAGAAACACUGUUCAAGUGGCUCUGAG